AAAUCCUGGACGCGGCAACGCGGAAGGGACGAGUUUAUUAGAUUAAAAACCGACACCUCUCCGCGAGGGGAGGUAGCACAGGUGAUUCACAGUAACCGAUCGGAUCGUCGGCCCCGCCGACGACGAUGCGUACGAGUUUCUGCCCUAUCAACUUUAGAUGGUAGAGUAUCGGUCUACCAUGGUCGUAACGGGUGACGGGGGAUUAGGGUUCGAUUCCGGAGAGGGAGCCUGAGAAACGGCUACCACUUCCAAGGAAGGCAGCAGGCGCGCAAAUUACCCAAUCCCGACACGGGGAGGUAGUGACAAGAAAUACCAUUGUAAUGUCUCCUCGAGAGGCUUACGAUUGGAAUGAGUACAAUUUAAAUCCCUUAACGAGUACGAUUGGAGGGCAAGUCUGGUGCCAGCAGCCGCGGUAAUUCCAGCUCCAAUAGCGUAUAUUAAAGUUGUUGCAGUUAAAAAGCUCGUAGUUGGAUUUCGGAAGGUCUUUAGUGGUCCGCCCCUUCGGGGAGCGGGUCACUGGCCUCCUAUGUUCCUAACGGUCCUCAUCCGCGAGGGUGGGGAAUCAACCGCUAGGAUCGUUUACUUUGAGGAAAUUAGAGUGUUCAAAGCAGGCGUAACUCGCCUCCGAAUACGUUAGCAUGGGAUAAUGGAAUACGACUUCGGUCUUGUUUCGUUGGUUUCGCUUGGCUGAAGUAAUGAUUGAUAGGGACAGUUGGGGGCAUUAGUAUUUAGUUGUCAGAGGUGAAAUUCUAGGAUUUACUAAAGACUGACCAAUGCGAAAGCAUUUGCCAAGGAUGUUUUCAUUAAUCAAGAACGAAAGUAGGGGGAUCGAAGACGAUCAGAUACCGUCGCAGUCUCUACCGUAAACUAUGCCGACCAGGGAUCCGGAGAGUUUGCAUGGAUGACUCCCCGGGCACCUUGUGAGAAAUCAUAAGUGUUUGGGUUUUGGGGGGAGUAUGGUCGCAAGGCUGAAACUUAAAGGAAUUGACGGAAGGGCACCACCAGGAGUGGAACCUGCGGCUUAAUUUGACCCAACACGGGGAAACUUACGAGGUCAGGACACUGUGAGGAUUGACAGAUUGAAAGCUCUUUCUUGAUUCAGUGGGUGGUGGUGCAUGGCCGUUCUUAGUUGGUGGAGUGAUUUGUCUGGUUAAUUCCGUUAACGAACGAGACCUUAACCUGCUAAAUAGUCACGCGAACCGGUCCGCAAGGGCUCAAAGUUCGCGGCUCGACUUCUUAGAGGGACUAUUCGCACCCGCCAGCGAAUGGAAGUUUGAGGCAAUAACAGGUCUGUGAUGCCCUUAGAUGUUCUCGGCCGCACGCGCGUUACACUGACGGAGUCAACGAGCGUUUUUCCUUGCC
rnacentral:rRNA from 1 species